rnacentral:rRNA from 1 species
CAGUCGCCACGGGAAAACGAAGGGGGCUAGCGUUGUUCGGAUUUACUGGGCGUAAAGGGCGCGUAGGCGGACUGAUAAGUCAGGGGUGAAAUCCCAAGGCUCAACCUUGGAACUGCCUUUGAUACUGUUUGUCUUGAGUUCGAGAGAGGUAAGUGGAACUGCGAGUGUAGAGGUGAAAUUCGUAGAUAUUCGCAAGAACACCAGUGGCGAAGGCGGCUUACUGGCUCGAAACUGACGCUGAGGCGCGAAAGCGUGGGGAGCAAACAGGAUUAGAUACCCCAGUAGUCCCUGUCUCUUAUAC